GCCAGGCAUGGUGGUGCACCCUUGUAAUCCAGCAACUUGGGAGGCUGAGGCAGGAGGAUCCCAAGUUUGAGGCCAGCCUGGGCCUCACAUUAGUGAGACCCCGUCUCAA
rnacentral:sRNA from 1 species